rnacentral:rRNA from 1 species
UGCCUUACACAUGCAAGUCGAACGGUAACAGGUCUUCGGAUGCUGACGAGUGGCGAACGGGUGAGUAAUACAUCGGAACGUGCCCGAUCGUGGGGGAUAACGCAGCGAAAGCUGUGCUAAUACCGCAUACGAUCUACGGAUGAAAGCGGGGGAUCGCAAGACCUCGCGCGGACGGAGCGGCCGAUGGCAGAUUAGGUAGUUGGUGGGAUAAAAGCUUACCAAGCCGACGAUCUGUAGCUGGUCUGAGAGGACGACCAGCCACACUGGGACUGAGACACGGCCCAGACUCCUACGGGAGGCAGCAGUGGGGAAUUUUGGACAAUGGGCGCAAGCCUGAUCCAGCCAUGCCGCGUGCAGGAUGAAGGCCUUCGGGUUGUAAACUGCUUUUGUACGGAACGAAAAAGUUCUCUCUAAUACAGGGGGCGAAUGACGGUACCGUAAGAAUAAGCACCGGCUA